rnacentral:tRNA from 1 species
GGGCGGUUAGCUCAGUUGGUAGAGCGCCACGUUUACACCGUGGAUGUCGGCGGUUCGAACCCGUCACCGCCCACCA